rnacentral:tRNA from 4 species
GGCCCGGUAGCUCAGUCGGUAGAGCAGAGGAUUGAAAAUCCUCGUGUCGGUGGUUCGAUUCCGCCCCGGGCCACCA